CGCAACUUUCCAUCUGACCGAAUGUAAAAAAAAAAAAAAAGGUGAUAAAACUGCUGUGGUCCAACCCACAAUAGUGGUGUCCCCAUCAGAGUCAUCCUCACCAAAGGUCCAACCAACAAAGGACUAUAUGCCGUCAUUAGUGAGUGUAGACCAUUCAUAAAAAAUGAGCCAUUCAACUGUGCAUGUGCAGUUUCCAGUGACAGGACAAGGCACAACACCAUUUUCUUAAAAUCUGAAUGAAUGUUGAUUUAAACAUAGUAAAAUGCCUGCUUGGGAGCAUUACUAAUCCUAAAUCC